UGGAAGGUGAGAGGGUGCUACCAUGAGCCAAGGCUACACCAGUGUUUUGAAACGGUAAUGGCAGGAUGUGAACAGUAGUUCUUCAGGUUGUGUGUUGUAUGUUUCAUGUCAAGCCAAGAAAUCUAAUUAACUCGGACUAUUUUCAGAGAGAAGACAUGGGUCUCUGAACAAACUAUCAGCACGAAGACCUCCUGCCUUGAAUUCCCCAAACUCUAUUGUCCUGCAGAAAUCGCGAUCCAACAGUGUGCAAACUGCUGUGACCUCUAACCAUGGCACCAGUUCCUCCAAAGAGAAGCUACAGAGCCCUGGUAGCAAGGUGCUACAGUUAGACGUGCCUUCAAAGGGACCAAAAGAAAAUCUCUGCUUGUUUGUUCCUGUGGUGAACCUGGAAAAGAUCCCGACUCUCAGAAAGACGGACAGCUCCUGCAUCAAGCUGAGCUCAAAGCUUCCGGCUGUUUCCUUGUCCCCACCCAAUCCCACUUUGGCUCCCAGUAAACCCAGUCCGGUACCCGUCGUUGAACCUGUAGCGAAGGCGCUGGCAGCAAGCGCAAUCCCCAAGGUGGCUGAUUCUCUGCAGCCAUCCACAGUAAUUCAGAAUGGUAAAGGGGAGCGGUCUCCCGUGCUGGAGGAACCAACACUCAGCAACAGGAAAAACAGCCAUAAAAUCCACCGAAGAAUUGUAGAGAAAGAAAGUGACCUCAAUAAGCACUGCAGCGUCAUGGACCCAGACACCAAGAAACACUGCACACGUUCAUUAUCUUGUAAG